GAUGAACGCUGACAGAAUGCUUAACACAUGUAAGUCGAUGGGGAAGUGGUGCUUGCACCAUGGCAACCAUGGCGGACGGGUGAGUAACGCGUAAGGGACUUACCUGCAGGACUGGGAUAACAGGGGGAAACUCCUGACAAGACCGGAUAAUGUCAUGGAGCUGCAUGGCUUUAUGAUGAAAGGAGACGCCUGCGGAGAGCCGUGCGUCCUAUUAGCUAGUUGGUGAGGUAAUGGCUCACCAAGGCGAAGAUAGGUAGCCGGCCUGAGAGGGUGGACGGCCACAAGGGGACUGAGAUACGGCCCUUACUCCUACGGGAGGCAGCAGUGGGGAAUAUUGGACAAUGGGGGCAACCCUGAUCCAGCAAUUCUGUGUGCACGAAGAAGGUUUUCGGAUUGUAAAGUGCUUUCAGCAGGGAAGAAGUAAGUGACGGUACCUGCAGAAGAAGCGACGGCUAAAUACGUG
rnacentral:rRNA from 1 species